rnacentral:lncRNA from 1 species
AAUUUGCAUUAUUUGUCAUUAGUACAAUUACCUUUCAUGUCACUAUUAUAUUUUACAAAUCAAAUAAAGUAAUCAAUAAAGCACUAUUUGUUAAUUUGUGCUAAGUUAGAAUACAUUACUUGUUAUAAUAUCAGUUUAAAGCUCUAUUCUCCAUGUAUUCUAUAAUUUCAUCAAUCAAGGCUUAAUUAAGGGCAUCGACACUGACCAUUUAUACAAAAAAGUAGUAAUAGAUGGAAAUUGAAGUGAGAAAUUUGAACACGGUGUUAUUUUUCAUCCAAAUAUAUGAGAGUUUAUUCUUUUCCUCUCGAUUAGGAGAUUUUUUUUCCAUCCGAUUAAGAGACACUUUUCAUUGGUCGAUGGCAAGUUAGCAACUUCUGCACACCCAAAAAAAAAAACUAGUAGCAUGAAUGAAGGGAAGGAGAAGGGAAUAGUAAAGAUAACGCAUCUGAAAAUUUGAUAGAGGAGAAUCUCCAUAGGGUGGGAACAAGACCCUGUGACCAAUCUAUCAUUGCAUCCACAUGUCUUCCAUUUAAUUAUUCUAAAACAAAAAUCAUUCUUUUUUAUUUUAUUUUCUCUUUUCUUGUCUGAAAUUUUUGUUUAAUCCCUUUCUUCCGGCGGACAGUUAUGUUCCUUCUGGUUGUAGUUUCUACCGGAGACAAUGCAUCUAUCAGUCUCGAUGUACGGCUUUGCAGGGACUCCGCUCAAAUCUUAUCCGACUCAUGGUCAGUUCUUAUAAUUUCAUUUGUGAGCGAAACAUUAUAAUACGAUGGAUCUAUUUAUUUGAAAACUAAAAAAGUUUGACGAAACUCACAUCUUUACAAAAUUUUUGUUAGCACCACCAAAGUUGCAUGUUAUACAUUCUCGUAGCUUUUUUAAGGAUUUAAGAACGUCUAUUGUGAUGAUAUGUAAAGCCGAAAACUGAUUUCACAUAUUCCUACUAAUUUACAUGAAACAAUGCAUGUCGUUGUUAUAUUGCAAUAUUACACCGUCAACAUCCUAUAUUUACUCAAAAUUCAACGAAAAAUGAGGAUAUAUCAGUGACUUGUAUAUAAUAUAGCUCAAUAUUUCAGUACAAGAACACAUAAAAGUAUACAAUAAUGGGAAAAUGCCCAUUUAGUACUAAUUCAAACCCUUCAUUUCCCAUUCCAAUGAUAAUCUUUUGCAUUAGCCCAUUUCAAUAUAAGGUAACAUUUUUUAUGCUCAAAUGCACAAAUCUUUAUGCUCAAAUGCACAAAUCUUUGCUAAAGUCUUAACAAACCAUAUUAUUUUAAGACUAUUUUACUCUCACCCCUUAAACAUGCAUAGAGAGAGAGAAGUGGAAGAGAGAGAAUAAUUGGCCAGAACCUCACCGGAGUCCAGUCACCGGCCGCCGGACUCUGGUCACCGGUCGUCUGACUCCGGUCAACGGUCGUCGGAUUCCGGUCAACGGUCGUCGGAUUCCGGUCACAGGUAACUCGGUUACUAACCCCCAGUAACUCAAUAACUGACCCCCAAUAACUUGGUUACUGACCCCCAAUAAUCGGGUACUGACCCCAAUAACUUGAUUACUGACCCCCAAUAAUCAGUUACUGACCCUCAAUAAUCAUACUGACCCCCAAUAAUCGGAUACUGACCCCCAAUAAUCGGAUACUGAUCUCAAUAACUUGGUUACUGACCCCCAAUAAUCAGUUAUUGACCUCCAGUAACUCAAAUUUUCUCCGGUCGUCGGAUUUCCGUCACUGGUAACUCAGUUACUGACCCCCAAUAACUUGGUUGCUGAUCCCAAUAAUCCCCUAAUAAUCAGUUACUGACCCCCAAUAAUUAGAAACUGACCCCUAAUAAUUAGUUACUGACCUCUAAUAAUUUGGUUACUGACCCCCAAUAAUCAGUUACUGACCUCCAAUAAUCAGUUACCGACCCCUAAUAAUCGAGUUAUUGACAAAAGAGAGAGAUAGAGAGUGUGUGUUUUCCAGAUCGGAGGAGAGAGGUCGGAGGAGAUCUCUGGCGCCGUUAAUUUGGUCACCGUGAAACUGUACUACGUGUAUAUGUCCAGAAACCUACGUAGGAAAUUCAAUCCAUGCUAAUUCAAGUCCGAUUUCACAUGGAUUUCUCAUCAACCAAACGAAAUCAACAGUCUGAAACCUCCUAGCUCUAAGCCUCUAACCACCACCACCACAACAACAACAAAAAUUCAAAAAGGCAAACGAGAAGGUUCUAGAGGCUAGGAGUGACCUGGCUCUUUCCGCUGCAGCAAACGGUGAAGAUGACGUCAGAGCUGGAGUGGUCGUAGAUGAGAUGAAGCAUGGCGGCGGAGGGAGAAACGUCGGUGAGAGAGAGAAGGAGAGCCCUGGCGGCGAUAAGCGGGGCUGUAAGUCAGCGAUCUAACAGAGUGAGAGGUCUGAAGAGCGGACCUGACCUUGAGGCCAGUGAAGUGAGGCAAUCCGAGGCGGCCGGUGCGGGAAGAAACGGAGGAGGCGGCGAUUGGGGAGAGAGUGGCUGAAGGCAGAGCGGAGGAGCGAGGAACGAUGAUGGAUUCAAGGAUGGUAGCCAUUGCCAUAGGAGAUCGGAGCUCUAGAGAAAUAGGAGGGCGGCGAUGAUGGUGAGAGAGAGAGAGAGAGAGAGAGAGAGAGAGAGAGAGAGAGAGAGAGAGAGAGAGAGAGAGAGAGAGAGAGAGAGAGAGAGAGAGAGAGAGAGAGAGAGAGAGAGAGAGAGAGAGAGAGAGAGAGAGAGAGAGAGAGAGAGAGAGAGAGAGAGAG